ACUACCAAUUAUUAGCGGACCGGAGUUCCGCUGUGGCGACCCCUAACUGGGAAAAGUCGAAAGACACAAACAUUAAAUCCCCCCAUGUGUGAAUUCUGGAAACAGUUUCUUGAUCAUUUACCUACUUGAAUUUUCUUCAAAUACAUUUCAGAAUUAUCUAAAGUGUAGUACCUAAAUGGUUACAUUCCAUUUUAAUGUCCUUUUUUAAAAGGAAGACUUUACCCUCCAAGUUUUUCUCCUUCAUAAUAUUUCCUAGAUGGUUAGUGCUGAGAACAUUCAUUUUUUUUGGGGGGGGGGUUCAGUUGCAUCUUUGACACAGGCCACUAAGAUCCCACAACUGUUUACAGGUUCAGAAUAGCAGUCGCCCACAGCUUUACAUCCAGAGGCUGUAGUCGGCUGCUGUGAAUGGCCAGUUGGCCAUUUUUUUCAAAGUUGGAUGAAUCUUUGCAUGAAAGAGACCAGUUGUAUUGCAACAUCUGCAUAAUCUGGUAGUUCAUACUUUAUUAAACCGUUAAUCCAUGUGAUUAUAUAAUUAAGUACAUUGGAAACUGUAGGCAGCUGGCAUUUGCCUUACUAGGCUAAAGCAUGACAACUCAAACUAUAGCUAGACAAAAAAAGACCAAACAUACCAUUUCUCAUUGAGGGCUACAGCUUUGAACACCUGAAAUUCUGCUUUUUAAUCUUUUGUAUUAAAAUCUCAAAUGGAACAUGUCUGUCUUUAACCUGCUUACAGCAUGUAAAGAUCAGAGUGCUUCAGUUCUUGGCAUGAUUUCUAAUGCAGCAGUACUGCACAAAAGAGACUAAAAAUUUAGUUACAGGGUGGCUUUUUCCAUGAAGGAAUAGCUGGUUUAAGGGAAUUGAGUGCCUCCCAUUGGAGAAAUUGGUGUUAUGGUUCUCUUGACGCGUAGGAUGUUCAGGAGUAAAUAGUGCGAGCAGACUGAUUUUUAGUCUGGAAAACUGAAUAGCUCUGAUGCCAUGGGACAAUAAGUUUCCCUGUGUCCUUAAAUGUCACAGUUGUGGAAGCUUCUGAGCUACUGUCUAGUAAUGCAAGUUUCAUUUUGGUUUCGGGUCUGUUGUAGAGACCUAGUCUUGGCAGUAGUAAUGGUAUGACUGAAACACUAAUGCACUUCAGGGAAGGUUUAAAUACAGGAACCUUUCCUUUAGCACUUCUGCCUUAAGUCCUGCCCAAGGGCAUGUAUUAUGGAUAUUUAAUGAAGUAUGUGUUGCUUUUUGUGCCUCUUUGCUCUUCAGUCAGUUUUUAUAAUGAAAUGGUGGUUAUCAGAAUGUGUCGCUGCCUCACUUUAAUAGCAACAAAAUCACACCAGGCCACACAAACAUUCUGAUACAAUGGCUUAAAUGCCUAAUCCUGUAAAACAUUGCAGUGUCAGCUUCACUUUGGUCUGACAAAUCUAUUCUUUUCUGCACACUUUUGUUUUACACUAAAAAGCCAGUAUGUGUCUAUAAAUUCUGUUCACUUCUGAGCCGUUUUUGAAAUUACUUGAAUAUUAACUGUUGAGCUGAGAGUUUAAUAUGUGUAAACUUUUUACUGACAAUGUCUGCUAAAUCCUUACUUGAUAACAUUUUUUAAUUUUUGGAAAUAAUUAUGUGCAGGUUUAUAACUGCUGGUAAGCACUAACCUCUGAAUUUUUUUUAUUGUAAGUUAUUUUAUACUGUAAAAAUUUCAACAGAUUAAAAGCUAUAUCUGCUCCAA